rnacentral:tRNA from 1 species
GGAGGGAUGCGAGAGUGGUUGAAUCGGGCGGUCUCGAAAAUCGUUAUACCGUAAGGUAUCGGGGGUUCGAAUCCCCCUCUCUCCG